AUUUAUAUUCUGCUUAUAUUAGUGGACGACGCUUCUUCCACCAAGUACACGACAGUUUCUGACUUGUUUGUUUGUGGCUGAUAUGGUCAAGGCUCCAAGUCCAAGGAUGGCUAAGCAGCCUGAAGCUGCAAAGACACCGUCUUUGACCAGGUGUUUCGGGGAUUCUUGGUUAGAUUAGAUGAGAACCAAAACGAACAAAAGAAGAGAGUAAAAUAUCAUACCAGGAAAGGAGCAAAAG